ACCUCGAAUGUACUCCCUUCUAUCGUACACUCAAAAAAAUCCACACGUCAAGGCUUCGUGAAAAAUCACGUAGACCCCUUAGAAAUGAAUUUUUCUAGAAGUUACCUGACAUAUGUACCAAUCACCGGAUCAUCGAUAGAAAUGGCAUAAACUGUCUGUCGUAUUUACUGUCGUGCCCUAUCAAGCUUACGUGAAAUUCAUGUACCAAGGCAUGUUCAUUUUGACAGCUGUAUGUUGUGUUCAUUCCCUAUCAUACCUGUGAAACAAGAUGGUGCCUAUAGAAGAAAAACUUUCAACAACAGCUAGACAAUUUCAAUAUUGGGACUCAUUUUGGUAAUAUUUUGAGAUAAAAGGAACGAAAGUGAACUGAACUACUGCAUAAUUGUGUUUUAUCUUUUGGAUCGGAAAGUUUAUGAUCCAUGAAACGGAUCAAAUCCGCUCAUCAAUGGAAUAAACGGAACCAAAACACUAUUCUUUUCCUCGAAGACAAGAUGAAAGAAUCUGGAAUCAUAAAUCAUAAUGGCAAAGGUGCAGCUCUGGACUACCAAAACGCUCAUGGCCAAACAAAACCAACUUGCGCUCCUCAAAACAACUCGCGAAACAACAAUUAAAAGAAUCAACUAUAUAUGUAAUAAAAAACGCUUCAACGAUUAUUAAUUGAA